AUCCAGGGAUGGGAAUCGAACCCACAGUGUUCUGCUUACCGGGCAGAUGCCAUGUCCACUAGGCUACCCUGGA